AAAAGUUGUUUUAAGACGCAAUGAAAAAACCAUCCCAAACAAGGCACAAAGUCUCAAAUUCCUUGAUUACAGCUUUCUCUUAAGAAAUUUCCCACCGCAGCUCUGCAAGAGGCAGCCCAAAACGCCAGCAGCUAUUAGACAAAGUCGGACACUGUCAGGUUCCUUAUUUAGAUGAUCCUAAUACUGGAGUUAAGAUGUUUGAAAGUGCUUACAUCAUUGAAUAUCUCAGAGAAACCUACGCUCUUGAGAAGUAAGUUCUUCUGCACCCAUUAGAUUGAGCUUUUACCAUACACAUUGUCAAAAAUUCAUCAAAAAAGAAAUUAUUAUAUGAUAUAAAUUACUUAUUACUGAAAUAUUGUGUUGUUGAAAUGUAUCAUCACUUACAUUGUAAGGUGUGAAGCUCAUUAAUAUAUGAUUGAUUGUCUUCAAUCUUCUCAUGUUUACAUUGUAAGCAAAAAUAUUGCUUAGUUGAAGAUCUAAAGCAUUCAUUCACUUUAGCAUGAAUAAAA